ensembl:lncRNA
GUAACACAUGCUCUCUACGUGUGUCUCUUCCUUUCCUUUCUCUCUGGUUCCAAGACCUUCGCUCGCUCGUGGGGUGGCUCGGAGUGGUUUUCUCCUCGCGGUUGCAGAUUCUCCUCAGCUUCUAAUCAGAAUUGGAAGCGAGUCGUCGCAAACGAUCACCUUGGAAAUAUUUUCAUUUUGCUUGUUGACAUUGGAGGGAAAAUAAGAGUGGGCGUCUAUUUCUUUCCUUUUUUAAAAAAACCUGCCUAUAUGCAUUCCCUCUUCAUUCCUUCCAUUUCUCAAACGCUUUAUUAUGCAAGGACCUCAAUCCUAAAAUAUCAGUAAGCCAAAGUCAGCCCUUGCCCACCCUGCGUUCAGUGGUGCGCGAAGGCACGGAGGAGCCUUGGUAACAUGGAUCAUGGAUCGUGCAAUCCCAGCUUCCUGGGUAUUGGGACUGGGAAGGUUCAGUAGAAGGUUGAAGUGAGUGGGAAGAUUGUGAUUCGGGGGCUUUAAAAGGAUCCCGUGGCCAGGGGCAGGGCUAAGGCCCAGCAUUUCCCAGGGAUUGGAAUUUAGUGCGGAGCACACUGAUCAAAGGCUGUUUCAUCCCACAUGGGCAGGAAACAUACUACAUUUUACGGAGGAUGUAGCUCAAGAGAAGUAGGAGGUGGAGAAGCAUACAUGAAAAGCACCUUUUCUCUCCUCUGUAAGGGAGAUGCUGACCCUGUGAUGUUUGGGAGCCAGCAGAUUCCUUGCAGAGUCUUCUAAGUAUUUCCAGAGAUUCUAUAACAAGUGAGGUCUGCCCUCGCUAGAGCCAAAUGUCUGUAAUCUCUUCCUAACAGCAGCUCUUCCCUUCUCUCCUCUUCUUUCCGUCCUUCCUCCUUUCUUUCCUUCCUUCCUUCGUUUUCUUCGACUUCUAAGUCCUCCUGCCCCGCAGCUUCCUAAGUGCAAGCAAAAGGAAAUAGUGGGUGUGCUGGAAGCCACCGUUGGUACCCAGAGUCUCUUGGACACCCUGUCCUGGCCCCUUGGUAGUCUCCUCGGUGGUGGAGUUGGAAUGAAACACCUGGGAGCUGUUUCUUCUUCCCCUCCCUCUCGAAGAGGACGUCUGGAUCGUGGACCGAGGAGCUAUUUCCCACGCCCAGCUUGUGAGAUCACUUCAGGAUUCCCUCCUGGCCACUUCUGUGAUGUUCUCAGCCCCAGCCUUCUGAAGAAAACUCCAUUGGGUUUACUUUUCUGUUGGAGGGAUGCUCUGGAGGAAGCACUAACUGGAACUUAGAUGGCAGCCUUUUGUCAGGCCUUCCUACUCCCUCAAAAGGGACAAUCUUUGAAAAAAAAUGAAUUGUACUCGAAACAUCAUUGUUAGUGAUCGUGGAAGCCCACAUUUUGGAGUUGGAGGGAAUCUAAGAUAUCAUGUAAUUCAGCACCUCUGGAGAAAUAUCUGAAUCAAAGCGUCCUGGAAACUGACUACAGAUAAGAAAACUGAAGCCAUGAUCUAAAUCACCUGAGCAAGGUCAUAUACCCGCUGAAGAAAAGGCAAGAAGACAGGAAACUGCUGGCUAAGAAAAAGAAUGUUCAAGAAAACUCACAGUGCAAGCUUUCACAGAAACCUUCACAGAGCUCACCAAUCUUUUUAAAAUUUGAAAAUAUGAAUCAUCAUGCCAAAACAUUUAAUAGGGAGAAAUGCAUAUGGUGCAUUAUCUGCUUACAAGCAAAUCUGUGAUGAGAAAAGAAACAAACCAAACAAGACACCAUAGGUACAUUUUUGAAAAUAGUGACACCUGUUGAAGAAGAGCUUCAGGCAAAUCCUUCCUCAAGAUUUCCAGAGGAAGGCGCUGUCAUUCCAGUAGGUGACAGCUCCAUGUGUGCUACUGCCACUGAAGACCUUCCAGUGGGACACAGCGAGGAUGGAUAAGACAGUGACACUGAUAAUCCUGACCCUCUGAAGGUCCAGCUAGGAGGUGUCUUUCUAUCUCAGUUUAUAACAAAACAAUUUAAAAAUAAACAAAAACUUUAAAAUAACAACAUAAACCAAAAAGUUUUGGAUAGCUAUUGAAUGUGUUUGCACUUUAGACUAAAUGUUCUUUUAAAAGCCAAGUUGUUAAAAAUGUUAAAAAGCUUAUAAGUAAAAAGAUUACAGUAAGCUAUGGUUAUUAAAAAAUUAAUUGAGCAUAGCCAUGUUACGAUGAUUGUGAAGUCUACAGUAAUGUGCAGUAAGACCCUCAGCCUUUGUGUUCACCCAAACCCUCUGCCUGGUUCAUCCAAAGCAACUGCCAGUCUUUCAAGCUCUGUUUAUAGUAAGUGCCCUAAAUAGGUGUUAUGUACCAUGUUUUUACUGUGCCUGUUGUAUGUUUAGAUACACAAAUACCAUUGCAUUACAAUUAACUACGCUAUUCAGUAGGGUAACAUGCCGUACAGUUUUAUAGCUUAGAAGACAUAGGCAAACCAUACAGUCUAGGCUUUGUCAUCUAGGUUUAUUAUAGGGGUCAUACAGUGAAAAAGUCCCUUGGGGUUGCAUUUUUCAGAAUGAAUCUAUAUCCUUAAGUGAUAGCACAUGCCUAAAUACUCUUUCAAAGAGGUAAGCUAUGACUUCGUGAAAUAAAUACAACUUGGAGAUAUAUAGGCAUGUUAGAUUUUAAAGUAACUCAUAAAGUUACAUUUGUGCUUCCUCAAACUGUUCAAAAUGGUAAUUUUAAACCUAUGGAUAUCCUAGACAGCCUCCUAAAUGCACAAGGACUGAUAAAAAUAUGAUGAAUGUUUAAAUUUUUAAAAAAAUUCUUACAGUAAAAGAACAAUGCUGUUAAUCUCUCUGAACACUUCCCACCUUUGAACACACUUAUCCCAUCAUUCUUGCCAAGUUCUGAAACAAAUCUGGAAGUCCUCUUUUGUGAAUACCUCUACAAGUGUUCAUUAACAAAAUAGGUUGAAUGCUGCUGCUGAGUGUCAUCCAGCAGAAAGGCCGACUUGUAAAAACACAAGGGUGUGUUCUCAUUCACUAGAUAUGGUAUCAUCUGACCUCUGGCUAUUUUAACUUUUUCCCAACAUCAAAAUGAUAAGGAAAGGUGAGCAUAUGAAUCAGUUCAGGACACUGAGGCCUCAUGAUAUGCAACUAAAGACACUCACAAAAGAGGACUGCAGGAACUGCUUCAGAACUUGAGAAUAAAAACUGAAUAAAUGUGUUGGAAGAAAGAGGGAGUAUUUUGAGGGAGAUUAAUGGCAAUGUGUCCUUUAUGUAAUACAGUUAAAAUUUUAAACUUUCACCUUAUCUUUUGAACAGACUUCAUAGUUUAUAAAAAGAGGUCUUUUUGAAACUUCUUUCAUAAGCCCUAUAACUCAUUUUCACUCCCAAUUGCUUUAUGGGGCAGUAGUAGAGUAUUUCUUCUACAGUCUUUGUCUGAGGUUUUAUCUUUUCUCACAUUUACUUUACUUGUGCUGAGUCAUUUCUUGGGAUCACAGAGUGAGAAAGGCUUUAAAAGCUAUCUGGCUUUGAAAUAGCUCAUCACAGAUUUAAAGAUUUUGCAAAAUGACUCCUAAUUAAUACCUGAAAACAUAUGCAUACUUCAGUAGCUGAAAAGCCUCAGGACCAGUAUUUGGUAGAAAGGUCUCGAACAUUAGAAGGCCCAAAUCCUAGGACUUCAUUCUACUGUUCAGUAACUGAUAUUGAACUUUCCAUUCCAGCAUCUCUCAUGUUCCUUCUAUCUCAAAUACAGUUUAGAUAGGGCACAGAGCCAUGUGCCUAUUGUCCCACCUGCUCAGGAGGCUGAACAAGGACAAUCAGUUGAGCCCAGGAGUUUGAGAACAGCCAGUGCAAUAUAGUGGUAAAUCAUUUAAAACUGCAGUUCAAUACAGUUGUCAGGUCUAGUUCUAAACUUUAUUCUCAAGAAAAAGUGAAAUGUAAAUGAUGGAAGCUUAUAACUAGCAAAUGUAAGGUUCUAAUUUUAUUUCUGAAUUUGAUUUAUGUUGGGACUUUGAACACACAUGAACUCUCCAAAAGAUGACCAUAUUUAUUGUCACCGACUCCUCCACUAAUUUUAAAUUCCAUAUAUUCUUCAAGGGUGAUGAAUUAAUUUUUAAUAUUAUACUGCUCUUUAAAUAUUCACAAUAAAUUUACCAGAACAUGUUUUCAACUUAAAAAUUG